ACUCGCUCACCUGGUCUCGUCUCAGCAGAACAUCACAACAAACGUCUCGAUAACAUGCAGUUCCUCUCGUUGGUCGUGCUGGCUGUACUUGCCGCGAUCGCGGUGAUGGCGGGAGGCGCCGCGGCGCUGCCUUGGGGCGGUGGAGGCUACGGCGUGUCGUCCGGUGGUGGUUAUGGUCAACGCCGCGUCCUUGUGGGGUACAUCGAUGAUGACCGCUACGACGAUGACUCGGUAGAGGUCUACGGCUACCGCAAGUGGUGAAUCAAUCAUCUAUCUACACAUCGAUUAACGGCGGAAGCAGCAGAGUGGACAUCGCCCGAAUAAUUAAUUUUUCGUAGUAAAUUUGAUAUUAAUUGAUUCGUGAUGGAUUAAAAUUUUAUGCUAGAUUUUGAUACAAAUGCAAUAUCUUGCAGUCAAGGCAUUUCAGUAUCGUUACGUUCAGCUGGCAAAAAUUGUUCAUCUCUAUGAAGAUUUGUUAGUAACACUAAACUACCAGGGACGAUGCAAUGUAUUUGACUAAAGAAUAAUAUAAUGUAUUACAAUUAAAUAUAAUCUCUCUAAUGCUGAUAUUCUUCUGUAUGUUUAUGGACAACUCUUAUCUUCGUUGUUAGUCAUAAAUAAAGCGCUUAUGACCAA
rnacentral:lncRNA from 1 species